rnacentral:rRNA from 1 species
AAGCACGGCCACACCGCCUUGUUCACGCCCGGUCUCGUUUGAUCUCGGAAGCUAAGAUAGGUUGGGCCUGGUUAGUACUUGGAUGGGAGACCGCCUGGGAAUACCAGGUGCUGUAAGGC